GACGAACGCUGGCGGCGUGCCUAACACAUGCAAGUGGAGCGACGAACCAGGCUUCGGCCUGGGGCAGAGCCGCGAACGGGUGAGUAACACGUGGGUAACCUGCCCUGAUGAUUGGGACAACCCGAGGAAACUCGGGCUAAUACCAAAUGUGCCCUCCGACCAUAAGGUCGCUGGGGAAAGGAAGCUUCGGCCUCCGCAUCGGGAUGGGCCCGCGGCCCAUUAGCUUGUUGGUGAGGUAANGGCUCACCAAGGCAACGAUGGGUAGCUGGUCUGAGAGGACGAUCAGCCACACUGGGACUGAGACACGGCCCAGACUCCUACGGGAGGCAGCAGUGGGGAAUCUUGCGCAAUGCGCGAAAGCGUGACGCAGCAACGCCGCGUGGGGGAAGAAGG
rnacentral:rRNA from 1 species